rnacentral:rRNA from 1 species
UACAGAGGUCUCGAGCGUUGUUCGGAUUCAUUGGGCGUAAAGGGCGCGUAGGCGGCGGGGUAAGUCUGGUGUGAAAGCGCGGAGCUCAACUCCGAAAUUGCACUGGAUACUGCUCUGCUAGAGGGCUGGAGAGGAGAUCGGAAUUCACGGUGUAGCGGUGAAAUGCGUAGAUAUCUGCAGGAACACCCGUGGCGAAAGCGGCGCGCUGGACCACUACUGACGCUGAGGAACGAAAGCUAGGGGAGCAAACAGG